UUUUUUUUUUUAAUAUUUUUAAAUUAUUUAUUUAUUUAUUUUAUUUUUGGCUGUGUUGGGUCUUCGUUUCUGUGCGAGGGCUUUCUCCAGUUGUGGCAAGCGGGGGCCACUCUUCAUCGCGGUGCGCGGGCCUCUCACUGUCGUGGUCUCUCUUGUUGCGGAGCACAGGCUCCAGAUGCGCAGGCUCAGUAAUUGUGGCUCACGGGCCUAGUUGCUCCGCGGCAUGUGGGAUCUUCUCAGACCAGGGCUCGAACCCGUGUCCCCUGCAUUGGCAGGCGGACUCUCAACCACUGCGCCACCAGGGAAGCCCCUCCCUGUAUCUUUAAUUAUUGUUUACAAAGCACUUUAAUCUACCGCACUUACUAGUUAAUUAGGCAAGCAUUAUUAUCCCCCUCUUUCUGAACCAAAUCCAGGAGAGAAUCAAUUCUGUCAGUCCUUAAUCCUCAUUGAAUAAUGGACCUAAGUUUUCUGUUCAUGUUCUUUUUUCUCUUAAAUUUUGUUGCAUAUAGCUAAACACUAAUGCAUGUAUCAUGAAUUGGCUUAGUAAAAGUUAAAUAGUAUUUAAUAGCCACAGGUGAGAGGUAAUAUAGGCAGCCCCUGUUUUUCACAAAUUCAGAUAAAGAAAAAAAGACAUUAUAAGUGCUUCCCAGAAUUACUUUUCCUUUUUAGUAGUGUUCUUUUCGCUUGGUUAAGUUUUUAUGAUGUAUAAACAUAUGUGUAGCUUAGUUCUUUAGCUUUAAAAUUUUUAAUGUACACAUUAUCUUGUGUGUACAAAUUAAAUUUUACACGGUAUGUUUUCUUCCAGGUGAAGAGGAGAUAGGGAGGAAGAAAUUGAAGGAUGAUGGGAUUAGGAAGGAAGAAAGGGAAAAGAAAAAGGCACAAAAAGAAAAAAAGGGUGGGGGUGUGUGGCGGACAGGAAAUGAACAGGGAAGAAAAUGAGACUGAGGUUUCAACCAAGGCGGUAGUGGGGGGAGGCCAGCCCUGCUAGCUCGUACCCGAUCUUUGUGGGAAUUGCGAACAGGUGGCCCUUCCGCGGGGCCGGUGCAGACCUGGCCAGGGCGCAGCGUGAGUACCUGAGCUCAGGCUGCCUUCCAGUACCUCCUGCACCCCUGCCCUACUCUGUGCCAACUGAACCUACCCAAAGGCACUAGAAGGUGAGAAAGGACAUAAAGUGAGGUCGAUAUUCUGAAGGAGAAAUACAUGUGGAAGAAACAAAUGUGGAAGAAAAUGGUAAAUAAUUUUAUCUGAACUCAAUGAUAAGAGUCUGAAAGAGAAGCUAGGUUCUAAAAAGAUCCCUGGUGAAGCAGUGCUGUUCAUUCACGCUUUAGGACCUGCCAAGUGACUGAGGUCCAAACAGGAAGAGAGAACGUAUGGAGCCCUUCAUUUUUCAUCCAGAAAUUACUUGUGGUUUCUUCUGUGCCAGGUGUUACUAGGGGUAAAAUCCAGGAGAUGCAACAGUGAACAGUAUGGAUAAGUUCCCUGUCUACAGGGAAUUUAUGGUCCAGGAGGGCUUGGCGGGAUGCAGACAAGACUCAAAUGAUAAACUGGUUAGUCACCAACCAUCUAUUAAUCCCCAGAUGAAAUAGAAGUGAUUCUGUAAAUAAAACAAUGGUAAGUGAACCGUAUCCCCCCAGAGAUAAGCCUGAGGACUCAGGGGUGGUUGAAAUUUGGCUGAGGAUAACUUGCUUCGCUUUCGCUGAUCUCUGGCUAGCUUUCGGUUUACAGAUGGAGUAUGCAAAGCCGACAGGGUCUUGGAAAUGGCUCCAGGCACCUGCGGUGUCUGGGGAGCCGGGGGACAGGAGAGCCUUGGGAAGUUUCCUGUGCAAGUGUAUUUUAACCCUGUCCGUCUUCCCACAAGCUUCACUAAGGCCUCCACUCCUCACGAGUGCUUUUGGAGUGAACCUUAUUCUCAGGAGAUUUGAAUAUGGGCUGAAACUGGCCUCAGAGAAUCACAAUAGGAAAAGAAAAGGGGGGCUUCCCUGGUGGCGCAGUGGUUGAGAAUCUGCCUGCCAAUGCAGGGGACACGGGUUCGAGCCCUGGUCUGGGAAGAUCCCACAUGCCGCGGAGCAACUGGGCCCGUGAGCCACAACUACUGAGCCUGCGCAUCUGGAGCCUGUGCUCCCCAACAAGAGAGGCCGCGACAGUAAGAGGCCCGCGCACCGCGAUGAAGAAUGGCCCCCGCUCGCUGCAACUAGAGAAAGCCCUCGCACAGAAAUGAAGACCCAACACAGCCAAAUAAGUAAAUAAAAUAAAUUAAAAAAAAAAAAAAAAAAAAAAAAAAAGGGAAAUCACACCGAAUGCUACCGUUCACUGGGAGUAAUAAAAUGUGGGAUUUUUUCCCCUCUUGUCCUAAAAUUGCCCUGAGGACCAAAAUACCUACCUCUUACAUUCCCCAUUCAGGAAGUCACCAGGAGCUAACCAGCUUCUCAGGACUUCCUGACGGUCAACACUUCUGAGCUGGCCCUACUGCCAGCUACACCCCCAGCCCCAUUUCCAAACUAAGAAGAGGCUUGCAGGUCCUAAGCUUUGUGGAGAUGCAGUUAGUAUUCACGGUGGGAGGCUGUAACAGGAGACUGGAGCGGGGCUGUGUUCCCUUUCUAUCCACCCAGGACAGUCUCCUUUCUAACCAUCUCCAAGUCAACUGAUUAGGGACUUUAUUUUAUUGUUUAAAAAUAUUUAUUUAUUUAUUUUGGCUGCGCCGUGUCUUAGUUGCGGCACGCGGGCUCUUCCUUGUGGCACGUGGGAUCUAGUUCCCUGACCAGGGAUCGAAGCCCGGGCCCCCUGCAUUGGGAGCGCAGAGUCUUAACCGCUGGACCAUCGGGGAAGUCCCUGAUUAGGGACUUUACAUCCACAGAAUCCCUUUUGCCACAUAAUGUGACAUAAUCACAGAGGUGACAUCCCAUCAUAUCUGCAGGCUCCACUCAUGCUUAGGAGGCUGGAAUCUUGGGGGCCAGCUUAGAAUUCUGCCUGCCACAGAGGGGAAGGGGUUCCUUUAAUCCCCACAGCCAAGUCAGGGCGAGAGUCCUAAGACAAUCACUCAUAAAGAUUGGGGUUCAGCAAAACGGGGAAUUAGACUCUUGCUAGGGUGACCUCGUAGCUACGCCCAGGCCACGAGGAGCUGAGCGGGGUAAGAAGGUCACAGUGAGAAUUCUGGGAGCCAAGGAGCAUGGCACAGUGUGUCCUUCCCACUGAGGUUUGGGGACAGACUUGAAAGGCUUGUGACCUGCCAGGCUGGAGAUUUCAGAGCGGUCCCUUCCCUCGGGCUUGAAGGGCUGCAAGCUCAGUGAGCCUGGAGGGAAGAUGGGGCAGCUACACCCACCCCACUCUCCAAGUCCAUCCAAGCGUGUGGAAGGGGACCCUCCAGUUCUUGGGGCUCUAUGUGCGGGAACAUACAUUACCCCAAGGGCAGAACCAGGAAGCUGCUGGGGGGCCGAUGGGCCAGGCGACUGAGUUUGAGAUGGAAUGCCUAGGACUGAACCUUUAAAAAAAGUUUUUUUAAAUUGUGGUAAAAUAUACAUAGCAUAAAAUUUACCAUUUUAACCAUU